GGCCUUAAACCUCAAUUCCAUGGACUUGAGUUCACUUCAAGUUCAUGGAAUUGAGAGCUUAUAAUUAUAAUCUAAUAGAAAUACAAAUGAACUUUGGAGUUCCCUUUAUACUAGAUAUUUUUCGAAUGGACAUUGAAAAGCAUGCUAAAAAACUCUGUAUUAUGUUCGUGCUGCAGCUCGUGAUUGACCAUUUGAAAGAGAUGCAGCUAUCUAAUAGAAGAGGUGAGAGAUAUGCAGGACAUAAUAGUAUAGUAAUAGUAACUCUAUUGUAUAGCUGUAUUUAUUUCGGUUAUAUGACGCUCUAUAAAUUGCAAACGUAAAAUUUUAUGCCACAUACUGUUACUACAAACUCAACAAAGGGGUUUUUAUG